GGGACGUUAGCUCAGUCGGUUCAGAGCGCUUGCUUCACACGCAAGAGGUCGACAGUUCGAAUCUGUCACGCCCCACCC
rnacentral:tRNA from 1 species